CCGGAUGUCUAGCAUGCGAGUCUUUGUAGUAUACAAGGCAUACGGCUCAGUAACGCGUAGUCAACCUACCCUAUGGACAAGAAUAAUCUCGGGAAACUGAGCAUAAUUCUUGAUAGAUCAUAAUGCCUGGAAUGGUUUAUGGUUAAAAUGAUUCGUCGCCAUAGGAUGGGACUGCGGCCUAUCAGCUUGUUGGUGAGGUAAUGGCCCACCAAGGCGAUUACAGGUACGGGCUCUGAGAGGAGAAGCCCGGAGAUGGGUACUGAGACAAGGACCCAGGCCCUAUGGGGCGCAGCAGGCGAGAAAACUUUGCAAUGUGCGAAAGCACGACAAGGUUAGUCCGAGUGAUUUCUGCUAAAGAGAUCUUUUGCUAGUUAUAAAACCACUAGUGAAUAAGGGGUGGGCAAGUUCUGGUGUCAGCCGCCGCGGUAAAACCAGCACCUCAAGUGGUCAGGAUGAUUAUUGGGCCUAAAGCAUCCGUAGCCGGCUCUGUAAGUUUUCGGUUAAAUCUAUGCGCUCAACGUAUGGGCUGCCGAAAAUACUGUAGAGAUAGGGAGUGGGAGAGGUAGACGGUACUCGGUAGGAAGGGGUAAAAUCCUUUGAUCUAUCGAUGACCACCUGUGGCGAAAGGCGGUCUACCAGAACACGUUCGACGGUGAGGGAUGAAAGCUGGGGGAGCAACCGGGAUUAGAUACCCGGGUUAGUCCCAGCUGUAACGAUGCAGAACUCGAAUGAAUGCAAUGCAUAUAGCCCAGUGCAGUGUCCGCCAAGGAAGUCGU
rnacentral:rRNA from 1 species